rnacentral:misc_RNA from 1 species
AAGUCGUAACAAGGUAACCGUAGGUGAACCUGCGGUUGGAUCAUUAACAAAUUACAGAAGCGCUUGCGCCUCUCUACAUUUUGUGAACUGUAUUUGUCUCUGGUGGGCUCUCGGGCCCACCACACUGAACCUCGUAGUAUCAUUUGACUAACGUUUGUUUAAAUAAUAAAAAACAACUUUUGGCAACGGAUCUCUAGGCUCUC